ensembl:lncRNA
GGGCAGUCUAGUUGGGGAAGGGUAAGGUUGGAGUGGUCCAGUAGGGGGCAGUCUAGUUGGGGAAGGGUAGAGUUGGAGUGGUCCAGUAGGGGGCAGUCUAGUUGGGGAAGGGUAGAGUUGGAGUGGUCCAGUGGGGGGCGCUGUAGUUGGGGAAGGGUAAGGUUGGAGUGGACCAACUUUGGCGGAGGGGGAGGUGUGGCUUGGGAAUGAGUGAGAGAACUCAAAAAAUGGCGGCCGUGAUGCUAUAACUCUGUGUGGCCCGUCUAACACACGAGAGCGGAUGAGAGACUAGGGGGUAACUUUUGUCACUCUUGGAGGAGGAGAACGAGAAAAAGG